rnacentral:rRNA from 1 species
UUGGAGGGCAAGUCUGGUGCCAGCAGCCGCGGUAAUUCCAGCUCCAAUAGCGUAUAUUAAAGUUGUUGCAGUUAAAAAGCUCGUAGUUGAAUUUCGGGAUCAAUUUGCUGGUCGUGCCUUCGGUACGCACUGGUAUUAUUGGUUUCUCCUUUCUGAUGAAUCGCGAUGUCAUUAAUUUGGUGUCGUGGGGAAUCAGGACUGUUACUUUGAAAAAAUUAGAGUGUUUAAAGCAGGCUCACGCUUGAAUACAUUAGCAUGGAAUAAUGAAAUAGGACGUUUGAUUCUAUUUUGUUGGUUUCUAGGAUCGACGUAAUGAUUAAUAGGGAUAGUUGGGGGCAUUAGUAUUUAAUUGUUAGAGGUGAAAUUCUUGGAUUUAUUGAAGACUAACUACUGCGAAAGCAUUUGCCAAGGAUGUUUUCAUUAAUCAAGAACGAAAGUUAGGGGAUCGAAGACGAUCAGAUACCGUCGUAGUCUUAACCAUAAACUAUGCCGACUAGGGAUCGGAUGAUGUUAAUUUUUUAAUGACUCAUUCGGCGCCUUACGGGAAAC